rnacentral:lncRNA from 13 species
AUGCAGAACAUACUACACUGUAACCAUAUUGCUAAACUGAAGUACUGCAAGCAGAACAUACUACACUGUCACCAUAUUGCUAAGCUGAAGUACUGCAAGCAGAACAUACUACACUGUAACCAUAUUGCUAAGCUGAAGUACUGCAAGCAGAACAUACUACACUGUCACCAUAUUGCUAACCUGAAGUACUGCAAGCAGAACAUACUACACUGUAACCAUAUUGCCAAGCAGAACAUACUACACUGUCACCAUAUUGCUAAGCUGAAGCACUGCAAGCAGAACAUACUACACUGUAACCAUAUUGCUAAGCUGAAGUACUGCAAGCAGAACAUACUAGUAAAAGUGAUGUGCACUAUACAGAAAUGUAUUACAUUGUUUAAACACUUUAUAAUCCAGUACAGCGCUAUGAGCACCAAUGAAACAUUUGCAUAUGAUCAAUUCAAAGAAAAAUAUGAUUUUACUUUACAUAGUUCAUAUUUGUGGGUUAAGUACAAGGAUGUAUUUCUACAUGUUUCAUAAAUUGUACAUUAAACCAAAACAGAUCAUUUAAAUGUGUAAAGUGUUUUGUGCAAUCUUAUGGAAUGCACCUAUGAUAACACACACAGAUACUGUACAUACUUGUGAUAAUUACAUAUAACAGUGAUACAAUAUCUGAUGCUAAACAAGAAUGAUUAAAUCAAUUAUUUAAACAUGAUUGGUUAGAUGAAAUAUAUAUACAAUUGUCUAUAAGUAACGUCAGUACAAGACGAUUCAACAAUUCUAAAAGACAGACAUGUUGCUGUUAGNNNNNNNNNNNNNNNNNNNNNNNNNNNNNNNNNNNNNNNNNNNNNNNNNNNNNNNNNNNNNNNNNNNNNNNNNNNNNUUUCACCAGUCAUCUAACUCACAGCAACAGGGAGCCAGGGAGACAAAUCCUCUACUUUCAUAUUGAAAUAUAACUGCGACUUUAUUCCCAAAAUGUGACUAUUCUCAAAAUAAAAUGUUAGUUUAUUCUCAAAAUAUUGACUUUAGUCCCAAAAAUGUUUUAAAACUGUAUUCUGGAAACAUCUACUUUAUUUACAAAGAAUUUCACAUUUUUAAGGUCAAAUCAAAUCAAAUCAAAUCAAAUUUUAUUUGUCACAUACACAUGGUUAGCAGAUGUUAAUGCGAGUGUAGCGAAAUGCUUGUGCUUCUAGUUCCGACAAUGCAGUAAUAACAAGUAAUCUAACUAACAAUUCCAAAACUACUGUCUUGUACACAGUGUAAGGGGAUAAAGAAUAUGUACAUAAGGAUAUAUGAAUGAGUGAUGGUACAGAGCGGCAUAGGCAAGAUACAGUAGAUGGUAUCGAGUACAGUAUGUACAAAUGAGAUGAGUAUGUAAACAAAGUGGCACAGUUUAAAGUGGCUAGUAAUACAUGUAUUACAUAAGGAUACAGUCGAUGAUAUAGAGUACAGUAUAUACGUAUGCAUAUGAGAUGAAUAAUGUAGGGUAAGUAACAUUAUAUAAGGUAGCAUUGUUUAAAGUGGCUAGUGAUAUAUUUACAUCAUUUCCCAUCAAUUCCCAUUAUUAAAGUGGCUGGAGUUGAGUCAGUGUCAGUGUGUUGGCAGCAGCCACUCAGUGUUAGUGGUGGCUGUUUAACAGGUACUAUUCAUGCAAAAUAAAAAUCCAACUACCACCACCCAUCACUGUUUAUUUCCUCUUCACCUGUCCCUAAUACUCUUCCGUAGUGUUUGUGUUUACCUAGGUAGGGACUGAUCAGUUGGUAAUGGGCUGUAUUAGCCCUACGCUGUGAGCUAAAGGAAGUCUUGGUCAUAUCAUAUAGAGCACUCUUCUGCUCAGUGGAGCAGGAGGUCACAUCCAGGGAAUUGGCAUUUCUUAGAAGAUAAAUGAGAAACACAAAGAUGUACAUAAUUUAGUUGGCAGGGAUAUGUUUGUCAAUUAGUUAUUGGUACAUCUAUGAUCAUACAGUGUAUGUAGGUUUACUCUUUAGCUACAAUAUUGUCUCAUUGUUAUCCAGGACUACUGUUUAUUUUCUCAUUG